CCAGACUCCUACGGGAGGCAGCAGUGGGGGAUAUUGCACAAUGGGGGAAACCCUGAUGCAGCGACGCCGCGUGAGUGAAGAAGUAUUUCGGUAUGUAAAGCUCUAUCGGCAGGGAAGAAAAAAAUGACAGUACCUGACUAAGAGGCCCCGGCUAACUACGUGCCAGCAGCCGCGGUAAUACGUAGGGGGCAAGCGUUAUCCGGAUUUACUGGGUGUAAAGGGGGCGCAGACGGCGAUGCAAGCCAGGAGUGAAAGCCCGGGGCCCAACCCCGGGACUGCUCUUGGAACUGCGUGGCUGGAGUGCAGGAGGGGCAGGCGGAAUUCCUGGUGUAGCGGUGAAAUGCGUAGAUAUCAGGAGGAACACCGGUGGCGAAGGCGGCCUGCUGGACUGCAACUGACGUUGAGGCCCGAAAGCGUGGGGAGCAAACAGGAUUAGAUACCCGGGUAA
rnacentral:rRNA from 1 species